AAAGUUUGAUCCUGGCUCAGAACGAACGCUGGCGGCGUGCGUAAUGCAUGCAGUCGAACGCAGCAGCUUAGGCUGGCUGCGUAGCGAACGGCUAAGAAACACGUGGGUAACAUGCCCUGGAGUGGGGGAUACCCAGUCGAAAGACGGGAUAAUCCCGCAUACGCUCUACGGAGGAAAGCCCCUACGGGCGCUCUGGGAGGGGCCUGCGGCCCAUCAGGUUGUUGGUGUGGUAACGGCGCACCAAGCCACUGACGGGUACCCGGUCUGAGAGGACGGCCGGGCAGACUGGGACUGCGACACGGCCCAGACUCCUACGGGAGGCAGCAGCAAGGAAUUUUCCCCAAUGGGCGCAAGCCUGAGGGAGCAACGCCGCGUGGAGGACGACGGCCUUCGGGUUGUAAACUCCUUUCGGGUGGGACGACUCCGACGGUACCACCAGAAGCAGCCCCGGCUAACUCUGUGCCAGCAGCCGCGGUAAGACAGAGGGGGCAAGCGUUGUCCGGAGUUACUGGGCGUAAAGGGCGCGGAGGCGGUCUGCGGCGUCGGCGCUGAAAGCGCCCCGCUUAACGGGGCGAGGCGUGCCGAUACGCGCAGACUUGAGGCGAGCAGAGGGUGGUGGAAUUCCGGGUGGAGCGGUGAAAUGCGUAGAGAUCCGGAGGAACGCCAGUGGGGAAGCCGGCCACCUGGGCUCGGCCUGACGCUGCGGCGCGACCGCGUGGGGAGCAAACCGGAUUAGAUACCCGGGUAGUCCACGCCGUAAACGAUGCCAGCUCGGGGUAGCCCCGGUCGUGCGCUGCGUGCCUUAGCUCACGGGAUAAAUGCCACCUGGGGACUACGAGCGCAAGCUUGCAUGCCUGCAGGUAGACUCUAGAGAGCUAGGUCGGGCAAAAAUAGGACGAGAAGGG
rnacentral:rRNA from 1 species